UCUCAGUUAGUAUAGUGGUCAGUAUCUCCGCCUGUCAACCUUCUGGUCAACAGCCCGCGGAAGACCCGGGUUCGAUUCCCGGACUGAGAG